AACGAUGGAAUUUUAACCCAUUAUUCCUCUCUCGACUUUUUGCAUCCAUUUGCUAUGUAAUCGGUUUUGGAUUCUCUUUCGGGCUUGACUCGAUAAAGUGGGCCGUGUUAGCCCAUUAUGAAAUGCAAGGAGAAAAAGUCCAUUUGGACUUCAAGGUGGGUUCAUGCAAAGAAAAAAGAUAAUGAAUUAAUGUAUAUUCUCAAAAAUUCUACACUUGCAAAUAAAUUAUAAGAUUUUAAACAAAAGAAAAUAGCAAUUCACUUACUACAUAUAGACACAUGAAACUAUAAAAUUUACAUGAACUCUAGGAUUAUGAAAAAUACAUAGCUUGCAAGUGAGUCAAUUAUAGUCAAUGAGGUCAAUCACAUCACUCAAAUAAAUAAAUCCACUAUAUAAACUCACGCUCUAUCACCAAAUAAAUGUAUAUCAUAUGAAUCCGAUAAGCUUUAAUCAUUUCUAAGCAAAUAAGCAGCGAAGCAUAUAAUAUCCAAACGAUUGCACCAUAAUUGGGAUGGAAAGCGAGAAAUAAUACUAUGCAGCAAUUAAUUCUUCAAAAAUUCGUGAUAAUUAUUACCGAAAAUUCUCAUUUCCGUGGGAAAGAAACCUGACUCAUUGCCUUUGAGAAAAAAAUAUGCAGAACAUUAUUGAAUUUUCACUAACGAAAUUGUCAUCGAGCAAUAGACGAAAUCUAAGGCACAACAAAUAUUGAAUCAAAACAGUGACUCGACCAUAUCGAUUGUGAGAAAGUAAACUCAA
rnacentral:lncRNA from 1 species